rnacentral:rRNA from 1 species
UACGUAGGGUGCGAGCGUUAAUCGGAAUUAUUGGGCGUAAAGCGUGCGCAGGCGGUCUGUUAAGGCCGAUGUGAAAUCCCCGGGCUUAACCUGGGAACUGCAUUGGUGACUGGCAGGCUUUGAGUGUGGCAGAGGGAGGUAGAAUUCCACGUGUAGCAGUGAAAUGCGUAGAGAUGUGGAGGAAUACCGAUGGCGAAGGCAGCCUCCUGGGCCAACACUGACGCUCAUGCACGAAAGCGUGGGGAGCAAACAGG